rnacentral:misc_RNA from 1 species
GUGCUAAACUCAACAACUAUUUACUUUAAGGUUCCUAUGGGCCUGUAGCUCAGGUGGUUAGAGCGCACCGCUGAUAUAAGCGUAGGUCGGAGGUUCGAGUCCCCCCAGGCCCACCAAUAGGUAACCAAAGGUCAAAAAGCACAUUGAAAAUCGAAUAACAGUAUAUAUUUCGGUCAAGAAACUAAGCG